rfam:Danio rerio chromosome 4, GRCz11 reference primary assembly.
GCCGUGAUCGUAAAGUGGUUAAUACUCUGCGUCGUGGUUGCAGCAACCCCGGUUCGAAUCCGCGUCACGGCA